rnacentral:rRNA from 1 species
UACAGAGGGUGCGAGCGUUAAUCGGAAUUACUGGGCGUAAAGGGCGCGUAGGCGGCACGGCAAGUCAGGAGUGAAAGGCCUGGGCUCAACCGAGGAACUGCUUUUGAGACUGCCGAGCUAGAGUGCAGAAGGGGCAACUGGAAUUCCCAGUGUAGCGGUGAAAUGCGUAGAUAUUGGGAAGAACACCUGAGGCGAAGGCGGGUUGCUGGGCUGACACUGACGCUGAGGCGCGAAAGCCAGGGGAGCAAACGGG